AACGAACGCUGGCGGCAUGCCUAACACAUGCAAGUCGAACGAGACCUUCGGGUCUAGUGGCGCACGGGUGCGUAACGCGUGGGAACCUGCCCUUAGGUUCGGAAUAACUCCCCGAAAGGGGUGCUAAUACCGGAUAAUGUCUUCGGACCAAAGAUUUAUCGCCUUUGGAUGGGCCCGCGUUGGAUUAGCUAGUUGGUAGGGUACAAGCCUACCAAGGCGACGAUCCAUAGCUGGUCUGAGAGGAUGAUCAGCCACACUGGGACUGAGACACGGCCCAGACUCCUACGGGAGGCAGCAGUGGGGAAUAUUGGACGAUGGGCGAAAGCCUGAUCCAGCAAUGCCGCGUGAGUGAUGAAGGCCUUAGGGUUGUAAAGCUCUUUUACCCGGGAUGAUAAUGACAGUACCGGGAGAAUAAGCUCCGGCUAACUCCGUG
rnacentral:rRNA from 1 species